UACUUGGUUUAUCUGCACUGAGGUUUAGGCCCCAGCCAGGCCCCAGCCGCUGUGUCCAGACACCAGCUCUCUGCUCCAACCACAGCCCUCCAGAUGCAGGACGAGGCCCAGGUGGAGGGGGAUAGAAGGGUUAAAAAUUAGAAGACUGAAUUUAUCUGCAGCCACAAGUUGUAUGCAACAGUUGCUCCCAUUUCAAGUAAUUUCAGAGAAAAUAGGUGCCUGAGUGGAAAACCAAACCUGAGGAAAUGCUGAACGAGGAUGCCCUGCUCUGGAAUGUACCAGGAAAUGCACAAAGUACCAGGCAUGAUUAUGGGAACCUGAGGAGAAAACCCAUGUUUU